UACGGGGGGGGGUAAGCGUUGUUCGGAAUUACUGGGCGUAAAGGGCUCGUAGGCGGCCAACUAAGUCAGACGUGAAAUCCCUCGGCUUAACCGGGGAACUGCGUCUGAUACUGGAUGGCUUGAGUUUGGGAGAGGGAUGCGGAAUUCCAGGUGUAGCGGUGAAAUGCGUAGAUAUCUGGAGGAACACCGGUGGCGAAGGCGGCAUCCUGGACCAUAACUGACACUGAUAAGCGAAAGCCAGGGGAGCAAAGCGGG
rnacentral:rRNA from 1 species